rnacentral:lncRNA from 1 species
CUCUAGUUUGUGUCCCCAUCUGUAACCCUAAGCAGGCUAGAAUUCAUCUCUGACGAAGCGCUUUCCAUCUGGAAUUCCCCACAUUCCCCAGGAGCAGGCGGUUUGCCCUAAAGCUGGUUCUGUGUCCACAGGGGGAGCAGGGCGAGGACGGCAAGGCUGAGGGGCCCCCUGGGCCACCUGGAGAUCGGGGCCCUGUGGGUGAUCGAGGAGACCGCGGGGAACCAGGGGACCCUGGGUACCCUGGACAGGAGGGUGUGCAAGGCCUCCGUGGAAAGCCAGGCCAGCAGGGCCAACCCGGGCAUCCGGGACCCCGGGGGCGGCCGGGACCCAAAGGAUCGAAAGGCUCAGAGGGACCAAAGGGAAAGCAAGGCAAGGCGGGGGCCCCAGGCCGGAGGGGGGUCCAGG